UUGUAUUCACAUCUACAUGUUUGCCUCAGACAUGAGAUUAUGAAAGUCAUCUUCCUCUAACUUCGGUAGCGACCACAGUGGCAUGCAACUUUUGAACGUGAUAUUGUUUAACAAUACAAUUGGUUUGAUAGAAAUCUAUUUCAAAAGCAAUGUUUCCACCACAAGCAAAAUCGUGUAGAACAGAAGUGUUUUGUUUCCACCAUUGCAGAGAAACAAAAUUGUUUAAGAUGAGUUAAGAUGUCUGAGUUUUGGCAGACUUUCUAAGCCCCCUGCUGCUGUUGCAUUCAGAAUCCCUUUUGAAGUGGCUUGGAAGUUUCUAUGUAAUUUCAGUGGCUGCUUAGGGGAAAUAUUGGCUAAACUACUCAUUUUGACUGUUAAGAUGGAUUGCGCGUUUUCAGAAUGUUUUCAUUUGCUAGAAAUAUGUUUUCGCACUCAGCCUCCUCUUGUUGAAGAAGGUUGGUUACCAGCCAUCUGAUGACGCCUCAGGGCGUUUACAGAAAAUGUGGGUGCUGUCGUUAUAUUUGAGCACAGCCCUCCCCCAACAAAGAUAGUGUGGCAAUCAGCAGGAAUGCGAAAACAUGUGUUUAAGGAUUGAUGCUUGUAAAAGAGGUGCCGUAAAGAAACACAGUUGUUCAGAUGUAAGAAAUGACUGACAGCUCUCCUUGUAGGCAUGCUAGUAACAAUAAAGUCUAGAAGUUCGACAUCAAAGCGAUCAGAGCUUAUUCCACCAGUGACUUGCACAUCAAAGAUGGAGCACAAGACAAAAGAAGUGCACGGAGGUGUGUUUCUGCCUCAUAGCCAGAUCCUCAGGGGGAGCUCCCAGAGCGCCUUUCAUGCAGGCACAGUGAUUUUUUGCAGAUCAGCGUCUUGGUUUCAUAAAUGGCCGGGAAUAUAAAAGCAGGGCGAAUGCACAUCGUAAUUGCUCCCCAUCACUUUAGGUUUGGUUAGGAAAGAUUCAUCACACGAGAGAUUGGUCUCUCUGGUUUCCCUGAGGAGUGAAUUCUGUACUGGUGUGGGCGGCUCCAGCUUCACCUAAUAUAGUACAAGGAAUUAUUCACAAAAUAGGAGAGUAUUAAUUAGAUAUGCCACAGGUUGGUCAAUUGGGCUUGAGCACAUAAAACUAGACUUAAGUUUGUGGAGUUGCCACCCCCACCCAUUGCUUGUUUUUUUCAAUUUUUAAAAUAACCUUGUGGGUGGAUUUUUGCUGAAUCAGGGUGAGCAUUACUUAACAGGUGUGUGUGAUAAUGAAAUUUAGACCUGUUAAACCAGCUCUUAAUGAAUCGCCAGAUCUGUGCCUCAGUUCUCUGACUCAAAUCAUGUAUAUUCAAGAAUGCCAAAAGUCAAACAGGAAGAAGAGUCUGGAUUUGACUUUUCUCCCCUUCUCUCUCGAUAGUAAAUUUAAAGUAAAAUUAACCAUGCAAGUAUUAUUGGUGGUUUGAAAUAAUGUGCUUUUUUUCCUUGUCUUUGAAAUUUAAAGUUCUUUUAUGUUCAUCUUCAGUAAUUUACUCAGUAAUUUUAAAUGCUAUUGAAAAAUAGUAGCGCUCUGUGUAGUCAUUAAUAAAUACAAAGCAGCUUUCUCAAGGCUCUAGGGAGACGUAAUAAACACAACUGUGUUACUAAUUGAUGCUAUACUGAGCUGGCAAAAGUAGUGCAUCGGUAAACAGAAGUUAGAAAGCAAGAAGUUAAAGAACUAUAGGGGAUUAUGUAGACAUCAAGGGCUGGAAAUUAUAAUAAGGCCUCUUUAGGGGAGCGUUAAUUUGCAUGUGGCUGAAUUAGGACAACCAAUUAUUUCAGAGGACACUUUUAAGAGCUCAUCCAAAAUACCCCUAGAGUUGAGGGGGCUGGGAGUUAGGCGGGAUGGAAGGGGGCACUGAGCAUGCCAUAUUUCCUAUAACUCCUGAUAGUUUGAUAGUUUUCUCAAUAACAUGUUAGAGUAGCUUUCUUUGUUAGGGAGAGAAAUGCUGAUGAAAUCAAGAGUAUGGCAAUUUCUUUGUUCCAUACACACAAUUUAUGUUGAACUACCACAAUGGAAUUUUUUUUUUUUAAAGCAGGGAAGGCCAGAGAGUGGAGACAGAAAUAAACCUUUUAAAUCUUUACGUGAACCCCACAAGGACAUGAGCAUUUAGCAGAUUAGAGCGUGUUUGGACUUAUAGUUUCUAUCCCCUACAGCAGUGGUCUUCGAUCUGUGAUCCGGGGACUCCUGGGAAUCCCCCAAGGCCUUUCAGGGGCUCCAAGAGAUAAAAAGUUGUUUCCUAACAAUACUAAGGCAUCAUUUGGCCUUUUUACUGUGUGAUCAUUUGCGUUACUGGUGCAAAGCAUUGGUAAAUCUGCUGGCCCCUUAGCAGGAAUCCUGACCAUGACACUGGCCUGCACCAGCAGACAUGGCAUUCUUCACUACUUGGACUUGUUGUUAAAAAA